rnacentral:rRNA from 1 species
UACGGGGGGGGUAAGCGUUGUUCGGAAUUACUGGGCGUAAAGGGCUCGUAGGCGGCCAACUAAGUCAUACGUGAAAUCCCUCAGCUUAACUGGGGAACUGCGUGUGAUACUGGAUGGCUUGGAUGUGGGAGAGGGAUGCGGAAUUCCAGGUGUAGCGGUGAAAUGCGUAGAUAUCGAGAGGAACACCGGUGGCGAAGGCGGCCUUCUGGACAGUUACUGACGCUGAGACGCGAAAGCGUGGGGAGCAAACAGG